CCUACGGGAGGCAGCAGUAGGGAAUCUUCCGCAAUGGACGAAAGUCUGACGGAGCAACGCCGCGUGAACGAUGAAGGCCUUCGGGUCGUAAAGUUCUGUUGUUAGGGAAGAACAAGUGCUAGUUAAAUAAGCUGGCACCUUGACGGUACCUAACCAGAAAGCCACGGCUAACUACGUGCCAGCAGCCGCGGUAAUACGUAGGUGGCAAGCGUUGUCCGGAAUUAUUGGGCGUAAAGCGCGCGCAGGCGGUUUCUUAAGUCUGAUGUGAAAGCCCCCGGCUCAACCGGGGAGGGUCAUUGGAAACUGGGAAACUUGAGUGCAGAAGAGGAAAGUGGAAUUCCAAGUGUAGCGGUGAAAUGCGUAGAGAUUUGGAGGAACACCAGUGGCGAAGGCGACUUUCUGGUCUGUAACUGACGCUGAGGCGCGAAAGCGUGGGGAGCAAACAGGAUUAGAUACCCUGGUAGUCCACGCUGUAAACGAUGAGUGCUAAGUGUUAGAGGGUUUCCGCCCUUUAGUGCUGAAGUUAACGCAUUAAGCACUCCGCCUGGGGAGUACGGUCGCAAGACUGAAAACUUAAUGAAUUGACGG
rnacentral:rRNA from 1 species